AAUUCCCGCAUACUGGGUCACUGGGGAUCCCUCCAGCUCCAGUUCUGGAACAGCGGCGAACCCAACGACGUCGGCCACCACGGCGAGGAUUGUGCCGGGAUCUACUCCAACGGCCUCUGGAAUGACCUGCCCUGCUUCAGCCCCGAGCGCUGGAUCUGUGAACGGCCCUGCUGACCCUCCCCCGGCUCCCAAAUCCCGCAAAAUCCGGAAAAAUCCAGCAAAAUCCGGCAAAAAACCAUCGUCCGCCGGAAAAAUCCGCCCGUUUGGGGCAGAAAACCUCCAAAAAGGGGACUCGGGAUCUGCCCAAAGUCUUCCCAAAAAUCUUCCUCCAAGAGGGAAGUGCUGCUGGAGGGGGAGUGAAACAGCAGGGGGGAGAUUUUUGGGGACGUUUCGGGUUUUUUUGGGGCUUUAUUCCCGUUUUUGGAGGUUGUGAUGUCACCGAUCGAUUAAUCGGGAAAAUGGCAAUAAAUGGAGAGCUUUGAUUGGGAUUUGACCCCAAAUGGCUUCCAAAAUCUUCCCAAAA